UCACUAGCUCAAACCCCACCCUUGGAAGCCCUGAUCCAUCCAUUCCGAGCAGGAGGUUGUAUUCUGAUGUGAACAUGGAGAGAAUCGAAGCUGCAACCGAGUGGGUCGAACUGUUUCAAGUGCUCCUGACUACUGAGACAACAACGUGACAAAAAUCAAUCUUACAAUUUGCUAACAGUCAUCUAACAGGAUCAAAGGAGAGAAGAAAGUAGUGCUAACAAGACUGCCUUACGACCUGGAUUUCAGGAUGGCGAGACCUAACGCUUUACUGUUGAGUGUGGUGCCUACUACAUACAGCAGGAUUCCUACCGAUAGCGACCUGUAACAAUAAAAACUUCAGCUCCAGCCUCAA